AUUGAACGCUGGCGGCAUGCCUUACACAUGCAAGUCGAACGGUAACGGGCCUUCGGGUGCCGACGAGUGGCGAACGGGUGAGUAAUACAUCGGAACGUGCCCGAUCGUGGGGGAUAACGAGGCGAAAGCUUUGCUAAUACCGCAUACGAUCUACGGAUGAAAGCAGGGGACCGCAAGGCCUUGCGCGGACGGAGCGGCCGAUGGCAGAUUAGGUAGUUGGUGGGAUAAAAGCUUACCAAGCCGACGAUCUGUAGCUGGUCUGAGAGGAUGAUCAGCCACACUGGGACUGAGACACGGCCCAGACUCCUACGGGAGGCAGCAGUGGGGAAUUUUGGACAAUGGGCGCAAGCCUGAUCCAGCCAUGCCGCGUGCAGGAUGAAGGCCUUCGGGGUGUAAACUGCUUUUGUACGGAACGAAAAGCCUUCUUUUAAUACAGGAGGGUCAUGACGGUACCGUAAGAAUAAGCACCGGCUAACUACG
rnacentral:rRNA from 1 species